rnacentral:rRNA from 1 species
GAUGAACGCUGGCGGCGUGCCUAAUACAUGCAAGUCGAGCGAACAGAUGAGGAGCUUGCUCCUCUGACGUUAGCGGCGGACGGGUGAGUAACACGUGGAUAACCUACCUAUAAGACUGGGAUAACUUCGGGAAACCGGAGCUAAUACCGGAUAAUAUAUUGAACCGCAUGGUUCAAUAGUGAAAGACGGUUUUGCUGUCACUUAUAGAUGGAUCCGCGCGGCAUUAGCUAGUUGGUAAGGUAACGGCUUACCAAGGCAACGAUGCGUAGCCGACCGGAGAGGGUGAUCGGCCACACGGGAACGGAGCCACGGUCCAGACUCCUACGGGAGGCAGCAGUAGGGAAUCUUCCGCAAUGGGCGAAAGCUUGACGGAGCAACGCCGCGUGAGUGAUGAAGGUGUUCGGAUCGUAAAACUCUGUUAUUAGGGAAGAACAAAUGUGUAAGUAACUAUGCACGUCUUGACGGUACCUAAUAAGAAAGCCACGGCUAACUACGUG